GAGAGCCUGUUUGCCUGGGAGUGCAUGUUUCAAAUGCUUAGCUGCCUAUAAAGCUGUAACAGUUCAGCCUGUGGCCACUGAGGGAAGAAUAUAAGUUAACCUUUGUAGUGACCAUGUGGAAGUCCUGACCUUGCUUGCAGACUUGACCUCUGGAUAUGACAAGGUAGCUUCAAUACAGAUCUACCAUUUAAUCCUGGAAACUAAAACAAACAAAAAAAUCUCACAGCAAGAAAGAUGCAGAACAUUUCCUGAGAAGUCAGAAGACCCCAAUGUAUUCUGGUGCGCAAAGAAAACAGGGUGAAUGUCUACAGUUACUUGGGGGGGAGCAAGAAGCACUAAUUCAGCAAACAGAGUGAAGAAACAAUCAAGAUGAGAUGGCUGCUGCUGAUGUGACUCUCUAGGUCUUUAUCUCUCUUCCUGCUGCUAACGCUGCAUGACACUAAGCUUACAGAUUAAAUGGUGGUUUUGCAUCCCUAGUAAAUCACAUCCUGCUUCCAAGGAUCUAGAAGCAAACUGCAAAAUAAGAAGAAAUUUGCUCUGAAGACUAUGAAGAAACACUAGGCUGAUCUUACCAAUAUCUGAAAUACACUCUGUAAAUCCCCACUGAUACUAUGGAUCUCUUGCAGAACCAAACCAGGACAAAGUUCAACAGAUAACUGGUCAAAGUUUAAAAGUGUAUGUCCACCAAGAACAAGGAACCAUGAAUGGCACUAAUGCCAUGCCUCAGGGUUCUUUCCUUAUGGAUGGCUAAGGUACAAAUGUUGGCUUGACGAAAAUAAAUAGCAGGCUGGAGGACUGUUGAUGUGGCUCUUGGUAUCAAAUAAUCUCCCUACAACUGUCUGUACUUGACUAAUCAGAGACUGACUUGAAUGAAUUUGAAAAUAAACUAUGUACCCAGAAGAAAAAAAAGAAGAAGAAGGUCAUGUGACAAUACAGGGGCACAGAGACUCACAGGGCACAAGACCAUGUGAAGACAGAGGCAGAGAAAUGAGUGGUGCAUCGACAAGCCAAGGAACGCCAAGGAUUGCCAACAAUCAUCAGAAGCCAGGAGAGAGGCAUAGAAGAGAUUCUCCCUCAGAUCUCCAGAAGAAAACAGUCUUGCCAACAUCUUCACUUUGGACUUCUAGCCUCCAGAAUUUGAAAGAAUAAAUAUCUGUUGUAAAGCCGCUCUGUUUGUGGUAAUUUGUUAUGGCAACCCUAGGAAACUAAUACACCAUCUAAACAAUAUUAAAUCUUCUGAUCCAUAAACAUGAAACGUCUUUCCAUUUAGGUCAUCUUUAAUUUCCUUCAACAAUGUUAUAUAGUUUUUGGUAUACAAAUCUUGU